AUUGAACGCUGGCGGCAUGCUUUACACAUGCAAGUCGAACGGUAACAGGCCUUCGGGUGCUGACGAGUGGCGAACGGGUGAGUAAUGCAUCGGAACGUACCCAGAGGUGGGGGAUAACGCAGCGAAAGCUGUGCUAAUACCGCAUGUGAUCUGAGGAUGAAAGCGGGGGACCGAGCAGCAAUGUUUGGCCUCGCGCCUUUGGAGCGGCCGAUGUCGGAUUAGCUAGUUGGUGGGGUAAAGGCCUACCAAGGCGACGAUCCGUGGCUGGUCUGAGAGGACGACCAGCCACACUGGGACUGAGACACGGCCCAGACUCCUACGGGAGGCAGCAGUGGGGAAUUUUGGACAAUGGGCGCAAGCCUGAUCCAGCAAUGCCGCGUGCGGGAAGAAGGCCUUCGGGUUGUAAACCGCUUUUGGCAGGAACGAAACGGUGUCCGCUAAUACCGGGCGCUAAUGACGGUACCUGCAGAAUAAGCACCGGCUAACUACGUG
rnacentral:rRNA from 1 species